rnacentral:rRNA from 1 species
GACGUAGGGCGCGAGCGUUGUCCGGAUUUAUUGGGCGUAAAGAGCUCGUAGGCGGCUCAUUGCGUCAACCGUGAAAACCAGCAGCUCAACUGUUGGCUUGCGGUUGAUACGGGUGGGCUGGAGUUCGGUAGGGGAGACUGGAAUUCCUGGUGUAGCGGUGAAAUGCGUAGAUAUCGGGAGGAACACCAGUGGCGAAGGCGACUUCCUGGCCUGUUCUUGACGCUGAGGCGCGAAAGCUAGGGUAGCAAACGGG